AGGUGGAAUCGGUCAGCUGAAGAUGACGCGAAAGUGCACCAGAAAUUGCAAACGGAAGAGGAUAAGAUUGAAAAGUAUAAAAACACCAUAGCACUAUUGGAAUCUUAUAGGACCAACCAGACCAAAAGUCAAGGAAAGAACUUUAAAGAAAUAAAAGCCAUUGAACUGAUAACAGCAGCUGGGAAGGGCGAUAAUCGUACAAUCAGACGAUUAAAAGAUAAAAACACUGACAUGAAUUUAUCGAACUCAAUGGGCCAAACAGCUUUACAUGCCGCUGUUGACAAUGGAAUGAAAGAUAUUGUGAAAUAUUUGAUAGAACAAUGCAAGGUAUCACCUUUUACACGAUGGAGUGACAAGCGCCCUAUCGACAUUGCAAGGGAAGGAGGACAAGACCAGAAGGGACCGAUUAUAACACAAUUACAAGAAUACAUGUUAAAAUCAUUGGAUAGUAACAUUACACACAAUGAUGAUCAAACUUUUGUUCGAACCCCAUCAGCUGAUGUUAUGACCAUGCAACUCCUGAAAUGUGCAGCAAGAGGAGA